GGCAUUGGGGCUCAGUGGUGGAGUACAUGCCUCACAUGUAUGAAGCCCUGGGUUCAAUCCUCAGCACUACAU
rfam:Ictidomys tridecemlineatus contig016901, whole genome shotgun sequence.